GCCUUGAGAUCGAGUUUUAUUAGUUCCAAGGUUACUCUUAUGGCCAAGGGUACAAGAUUUUAACAUGGGCUUCCAGAGACAUUAAAUAACACUGGUACCUCCUUGUCCUUACUGUCUAUUUUCACAGCAUCUUAGGUUAAUACAGCAGGCCUUGAGGAGAUCUAGUUGUUCUUAGUUCCAAGGUUAUAUGGCCAGGGACAGAGGAUUUUAACAUGGGCUUCCAGAGACAUUAAAUAACACUGGUACCUCCUUGUCCUUACUGCCAUUUUCACAGCAUCUUAGGUUAAUACUCUAGGCCCUAAAGAGAUCUAGUUGUUCUUAGUUCCAAGGUUAUAUGGCGAGGGACAGAGGAUUUUAACAUGGGCUUCCAGAGACAUUAAAUAACACUGGUACCUCCUUGUCCUUACUGCCAUUUUCACAGCAUCUUAGGUUAAUACUGCAGGCCUUGAGGAGAUCUAGUUGUUCUUAGUUCCAAGGUUAUAUGGCCAAGGGUACAAGAUUUCAACAUGGGCUUCCAGAGACAUUAAAUAACACUGGUACCUCCUUGUCCUUACUGCCAUUUUCACAGCAUCUUAGGUUAAUACUCUAGGCCCUAAAGAGAUCUAGUCCUUCUAAGUUCCAAG